rnacentral:ncRNA from 1 species
AAGUCUCUCAGGUUCUGGCUGGCCCUCGGAUGAAUGCCAGAAUCCUUCAAGCCGCGCCUAGCGCGGCUUUUUUUA